GACGAACGCUGGCGGCGUGCUUAACACAUGCAAGUCGAACGGAAAGGCCCUGCUUUUGUGGGGUGCUCGAGUGGCGAACGGGUGAGUAACACGUGAGUAACCUGCCCUUGACUUUGUGAUAACUUCAGGAAACUGUGGCUAAUACCGGCUAGGAGCUCCUGCUGCCUGGUGGGGGUUGGAAAGUUUCGGCGGUUGGGGAUGGACUCGCGGCUUAUCAGCUUGUUGGUGGGGUAGUGGCUUACCAAGGCUUUGACGGGUAGCCGGCCUGAGAGGGUGACCGGCCACAUUGGGACUGAGAUACGGCCCAGACUCCUACGGGAGGCAGAAGUGGGGAAUAUUGCACAAUGGGCGGAAGCCUGAUGCAGCAACGCCGCGUGCGGGAUGACGGCCUUCGGGGUGUAAACCGCUUUCGCCUGUGACGAAGCGUGAGUGACGGUAAUGGAUAAAGAAGCACCGGCUAACUACGUG
rnacentral:rRNA from 1 species